GACGAACGCUGGCGGCGUGCCUAAUACAUGCAAGUUGAGCGCUGAAGGUUGGUACUUGUACCAACUGGAUGAGCAGCGAACGGGUGAGUAACGCGUGGGGAAUCUGCCUUUGAGCGGGGGACAACAUUUGGAAACGAAUGCUAAUACCGCAUAAAAACUUUAAACACAAGUUUUAAGUUUGAAAGAUGCAAUUGCAUCACUCAAAGAUGAUCCCGCGUUGUAUUAGCUAGUUGGUGAGGUAAAGGCUCACCAAGGCGACGAUACAUAGCCGACCUGAGAGGGUGAUCGGCCACAUUGGGACUGAGACACGGCCCAAACUCCUACGGGAGGCAGCAGUAGGGAAUCUUCGGCAAUGGACGAAAGUCUGACCGAGCAACGCCGCGUGAGUGAAGAAGGUUGUCGGAUCGUAAAACUCUGUUGGUAGAGAAGAACGUUGGUGAGAGUGGAAAGCUCAUCAAGUGACGGUAACUACCCAGAAAGGGACGGCUAACUACGUG
rnacentral:rRNA from 1 species